GUGCUCUCUCUCGCUCUGCAGCCAGCGCAAGGUUGAAAAUGCCAAACAGCUACUAGAAGAAACUUUGGCAGGUGGCCAGGCAGAGGACCUGUGUCUAGAGCUGCAAAAAGCCAGCAAGCAGCUGGAGGAUAUCAGCAAGCAUGUAAGGGGCAGCCCAGUUCCCUCUGUGUGGGGCAGCAGGAGAUGCCGAGGGCCGCGUCCGACGCGCGGCCGCCCUGGGGAAGGGAAUCGCGCGUUCCGAAUGCUGUGCCUCCCUGCAGGAGUGGAACCAGCAGAGGAAGUAAAAUUUGAGGGGGUGGUGACAACAGUUUGCUGAUGAAAGAGGCAGCAUUGCAUAUUUGUGGUGGCUUAAAAAAAAAAAAAGAGAAAAGAGGGGAAAAAAAAAAGGCACCCAAAAAUAGUUUCCAUACACAGUCCACCCCAACGUAAAAAUGCAGAAGUUCAGAGGGAGCUUUAUCACUUCCUGAGAAAGAACAGAUGCAGUUUGGUUUCAUUUACAUGAACGGCGGAGGAUCAAGCUGAAGCAUUUCACUCUGCUCGUGAAGAAGCAGCAUCCUUGAAGAGCAAGUUGGAGGAAGCCAUUUCUGAGCAGCAGAAGCUCAGGGAUGUGAAUGCUGCUUUAGAAAGCACUUGCCAACUGCUUCAGGAGAAGGUGGAAGACCACAAAACAACUGCUAAUGGCCUGAGAUGGGAACUGCUGCAGAGGCGUCUCUGUGAAUUGGUGUGCCAGUGCUGUGCAGAGUCAGAGUCUGAGUACGCUCUGCUGCCCACGAUAGCUGCACACGUAAAAGGGAAGCAGCUCCACAGAUCCAAAAGACCAUGGAAUGAGGGACCCACCUUGUACUCUGACUUUCCCUGGGCACUGCUAUCAGGUGCUUCACGCUGGCACAGCUCCCCUCUGCUAGAUGCUCUGACCUUGGAGACCUCCUGCCCAAAUAACCCUCCUGGGCACAGCUGGGACCAGCCUUGCAGGCAGAGCUCUGGCAGCUGCACCUUGGAGAGGCAUGAUGUGGGACACGUGUCCAGCUCAGAUGUGACCUCAGGAGGAUGCAGGUGGAAAAUAUACUCUGCUGAUGACUACACUGAUGCAG
rnacentral:lncRNA from 1 species